AUCAACAAAGUUGAUAAUAAGGUUCAUCGUCUAAGAGUUUACUCUGUUGGGUGGGGUGCCACAGUAAUAACAGAUAAAACACAACUGUGGAACAUGGUGAAAAGAGAAAUAUUAUCUCAAAGGACGACUAGGAAUAUCCAAAAUGUUGCAGCAAGUAUUAGUAACCAUUCACACAAAUCUUUUAAAUUAAAGCAAGACAUCUCCAUUCUUCAGUUUUUCAAGAGUAAACAGUUCAUUGAUAAAGCAAUAUAUGGAGAACUGGUGAGAAUAUUUGCAAGAAUACUUGAGUAAAUCCAAUGGACUGCUUAGGAAUUGAAUUUUCAAAAUGACUAUGUCAGCAAGAGAGUGACUGAAUUAGUCAGUAGCAGGGAUUCCAAGUUUGUAACCAAAUGUUGUCGUUGUUAUUACGGAUAUAUAUAUAUAUAUAUAUGAUUAUGGUGUAAUUUCAACUUUUGAUGUUUAAUUUGAGAUUGCCUAUCAUCUCUACCGGUUAUUUGAUUGAAUUAAGACAUGUUUAAAUUUUGUGUUAAUGUUAGUCUUAUUUCGUCACAUUUCGUCAUUAAAGGGACUUUUACAUUGGAUUCAACGUCUCUAUGUAACUAUGUUUUAAUAACACAAUAUAUCUAUUAUAUGCUUCUUUUGGUACUGUCAAGAAAAAAUGUCUUCUUUUAGUUUUACUUUUAUCAACAAACUUACAUAAUUCAUGUUGCUAUGAUUUU